CUCCCUCAAAAUCUAAAAAUUUUUUAAGAGACGAAAAAAAUUGAUCCUUACUCUCAACGUUCUAAAAAGCCUCCUCUAAUGGUCUCUAGGCCAAGAAGCAUCCCAAAUCUCUCUGUCCAUAAGGUAUUUAAUCUCCGGAAGCGCAUUAUUUAAUCUCUGCAAAAAGGCAUUAUGCAGCUCAUAAGUACGGCAAAUCUCCAACCUGAUUUGCUUCCCGGGAAACAUGAUGCAUGGAAUCAACCUUCAAGAUGAUUUUACCUGAAACUUUAAUUGGAUCUUAUUCUUAGCCCACAAUUAAUUCAGCCUGAACAGAAUUACAUCGGCCGAAAUUAACAUGAACCCUCUAUUAGGAUGUCAGUAAAUACCUCUAGCUCUUUUCGCAAAGCACUUCAAUUAUCUGUUGAAUGUUUUUGCUCAAUCUGAUUCUAUGAAUGCCAUCUUUUGGGUAAGCAAAUAUGAAAUAGCUAGACCGCACCAUGGUGUUUGCAUUCUGAAUUCUGCUUAAUUGAAAAUCUCACGAAAAGGCUGACCAACAUGUCCUCCUUGCAUACUCAUCCUUACUUCAGCUGACUGGUCAUUCAAGUACCUAUUG
rnacentral:lncRNA from 1 species